CCUAAUACAUGCAAGUCGAACGCAUUGUGGUUGAAAUGAUAUGAAGAACUUGUUCAGAUUUGAUUUCAACAUUGCAAUGAGUGGCGAACGGGUGAGUAACACGUGGGAAACCUACCUCUUAGCAGGGGAUAACAUUGGAAACAAAUGCUAAUACCGUAUAAUAAUUAAAACCGCAUGGUUUUAGUUUAAAAGAUGGUCUUGCUAUCACUAAGAGAUGGUCCCGCGGUGUAUUAGUUAGUUGGUGAGGUAAUGGCUCACCAAGACAAUGAUACAUAGCCGAGUUGAGAGACUGACCGGCCACAAUGGGACUGAGACACGGCCCAUACUCCUACGGGAGGCAGCAGUAGGGAAUCUUCCACAAUGGACGAAAGUCUGAUGGAGCAACGCCGCGUGUGUGAUGAAGGGUUUCGGCUCGUAAAACACUGUUGUAAGAGAAGAAUGACAUUGAGAGUAACUGUUCAAUGUGUGACGGUAUCUUACCAGAAAGGAACGGCUAAAUACGUG
rnacentral:rRNA from 1 species